CUCAGCCUCCCAAGUAGCUGGGAUUACAGGUAUGCAUCACCACACCCGGCUAAUUUUUAUAUUUUUAGUAGAGACGGCAUUUCACCAUAUUGGCCAGGCCGGUCUUGAACUCCUGGCCUCAGGUGAUUCACCCCCCACUUGGUCUCCCAAAGUGUUGGGAUUACAGGCGUGAGCCACAGAGCCUGGCUAAGUUUUUUUCUUUUAAAUUAGCCAGGCGUGGUGGCCCCAGCUAACUUGCAAGGCUGGGGCGGGAGAAUCACUUGAGCUCAGAAGUUAGGAUUGGGCCACUCCGCUCCACCCUGGGCGGCAGGGCCAAACCCAGGCUCCAAAACAUUUUAAAAAUUAAAAAGAAAUAUUAAAAAGAAAGACACGGCCGGGGUUCGGCCUUCGCCUCGGGAGGGGGCUCUGCAGCAGCGCUUCCUCCUUCUCCCGCCUCCUCCACCCUGGCCCUCCAGGGUCCCCUCGGUCCCCCAGUCCCCACCCCGCACCCCCAAGCCUGCUAACCUUUAACCUCCUCCGGGCCCCCAGCUCCCGGGCACCCAAGGAAAGGAGCCUGCGAGGGGCCGGGUGUUGGGGGGGCUCCCCGACUCCCACUGCAGGGCUUCCGGGCACCUCCCGGCCCUGCCCGAAUACGCACCGCCCGCAGCGGCCGCCGGUAUCACUGCUCCUCGAAACCCCGGCGUCGGUUGUCGGAGAAGUCGGCGCGGAGGCUCCAGAGCCCGCCCAGCUCCUAGCGCUCCGCGAUGGGCUCUCUCUGCAGCGCCAGCGAAGCCACACAACAGCGGUCCGAACGCCUCCCGGGUAACCGCCGCCCCAUAGGACACACCUCCGCCUCCCCGGCUCCGCCGCAGUCGGCUGCCCUAAGAGCGACGCUGGAGGAACCCGGCGGGCGGGCGGGUCGCGAGGCGCUCCGGCCCCGUGACGCGCCUGAGGUCGUCCGCGUCAUCUUUGUUGAGGGCAAGUGCCAGGCCUGGAGGGGGAGGGCGGGGUCGGGCGCUCCCCAGUGGGGCCUGUGGCUGGAACCCUGGGUUAGGCGUUUGGGGAAGCCGGACCCUCACCCUCAACCCCAGCCAAGAAUGGCGACGUCUGUUCCCCAGCUCAGCACAGGCUGGACGAUCCAGGGCAGCAGGCCAGGACAGAACCCCCGAGAUUGAUUAUCCUGAACAUGGAUGCCUCAAGAAGGCUUAUGACUUAUUCUGCAUUUUGGAGGAGAUGGGACCCAAGCUGACCAAAGAGGAGGAGGAAGCUCUGAGCAAGAAGUUCACAGACCGCCGGGCGCGGUGGCUCAAGCCUGUAAUCCCAGCACUUUGGGAGGCCGAGGUGGGUGGAUCACGAGGUCAGGAGAUCGAAACCAUCCUGGCUAACACAGUG
rnacentral:lncRNA from 1 species